rnacentral:rRNA from 1 species
GUAGGGAAGCACACUUAGCUGAAGGCGAGAAAAGCUUUGCGUAUAGAAACAGAUGCCCGUACCGCAAACCGACACAGGUGGACAGGAAGAGAAUUCUAAGGCCAGCGGGAGAAGGGUAGUUAAGGAACUCGGCAAAUUGACUCCGUAACUUCGGAAUAAGGAGUGCUCGAAAGAGCCGCAGAGAAUAGGCCCAGGCGACUGUUUAGCAAAAACACAGGUCUCUGCCAAAUCGAAAGAUGAAGUAUAGGGGCUGACACCUGCCCGGUGCCGGAAGGUUAAGAGGAGGAGUGAGAGCUCCGAAUUGAAGCCCCGGUAAACGGCGGCCGUAACAAUAACGGUCCUAAGGUAGCGAAAUUCCUUGUCGGGUAAGUUCCGACCCGCACGAAUGGUGUAACGAUCUGGGCACUGUCUCAACUACCCACCCGGCGAAAUUGUAGUACCGGUGAAGAUGCCGGUUACCUGCGGCAAGACGGAAAGACCCCAUGGAGCUUUACUGUAGCCUGAUAUUGGGUUUCGGAAAUCUAUGUACAGGAUAGGCGGGAGACUGGGAAACAUGAGCGUCAGCUUGUGUGGAGUCGAUGUUGGGAUACCGCCCUUAGGUUUCUGGAAUUCUAACCUGCGGCCGUGAAUCCGGUCGGGGGACAUUGUCAGGUGGGCAGUUUGACUGGGGCGGUCGCCUCCGAAAAGGUAACGGAGGCGCUCAAAGGUUAGCUCAGCACGGACGGAAACCGUGCCUCUGAGUGUAAACGCAAAAGCUAGCCUAACUGCGAGGGUGACGGCCCGAGCAGUAACGAAAGUUGGAGUUAGUGAUCCGGCGGUAUGUGAAUGGAAAUGCCGUCGCUCAACGGAUAAAAGCUACCCUGGGGAUAACAGGCUGAUCUCCCCCAAGAGUCCACAUCGACGGGGAGGUUUGGCACCUCGAUGUCGGCUCAUCACAUCCUGGGGCUGUAUUCGGUCCCAAGGGUUCGGCUGUUCGCCGAUUAAAGUGGUACGCGAGCUGGGUUCAGAACGUCGCGAGACAGUUCGGUCCCUAUCUGUCGUGGGCGCAGGAUAUUUGAGGAGCUCUGUCCUUAGUACGAGAGGACCGGGAUGGACGUACCUCUGGUGCACCAGUUGUCAUGCCAAUGGCACGGCUGGGCAGCUAUGUACGGAACGAAUAAACGCUGAAAGCAUCUAAGCGUGAAGCCGACUCCAAGAUUAGAUAUCCCAUCGUAUAACGAGUAAGACCCCUUGAAGACUACGAGGUUGAUAGGCUGCGUGUGUAAGUGCCGUGAGGCAUUCAGCUUGGCAGUACUAAUAGGUCGAGGGCUUGACC